AAAUAUUGGUCCUGACAUUAUUUCAUUUUAUGUUUUUUUUAUCUGGAAAGAUAUUUCUUUUUGUUCUUUGUCUGAAACCUUCGACAAUUUUCCAAUCUGAGAAAAUAAUUUUUGUCGGCCGAUCGACGAAGCUGUAUCGAAAUCCAUCCGAAAUUCACUUCCAUCGUCUUCGCUUAUACAUCAAUUCUUUGCAAAUUAUAAGAUCUUAAAAGAGAUUAGUAGCCAUAUUUCAAUGGGUUCUCAAAAGAAGAAGAAGAAUGAAGAUAAGUUUUUUUUUUAUCCAGAUUAUUGUAUAACUUGAGCACUUUAUUGCAAAAUGCUCCUGCUUCAUUAUUCUUUAGCUGAAUGUUAGAUUCAUGAUACAAAGUUCAAUGUUUGCAGGCGAAGUAGAAUUUUGCGCACAUAAUUCUUAUGGAGCUGAAGCAGUAACAGUUUAAUUUGGAGCAUUCUUGAAAUAUAAUUUGACAAAUGAUCAAUUUGAAGUUGGAUUCUUAAGGAGGGAAGAGAUUUGGUGUUGUAAUUAGAGGUUUUUAAAGAUCUAUAUUUAAAAAGGCUGUGCUAUCUUACCAUCACCAACUGCUAGAAUCCACUCUGAAAAUAACACAAAUGUUUGAGAGGUAUGCUUUGGGUUUGAGAGCUAUUUAGGAGGAGGUAACUCUUCCUUGACAGUUCUGUGAUGGGAAGAGCCAUUGUUUGAGAGAUCUACCAAUUGCGAGAGAAAUAUAAAGGCCCAAGAUCGACUAAGCCCAAUAAGCUCAUUAUGCACUUCUGGAUAGAGAUCCGACUGCUGGCUCCAAGAUCCGCUGGUAAUGGAUCCAAGAUCCGCGUGUAAUUGCCCUUGAAAUUGUCCAUUAUACCCUCUGACGAUUUCUGUUUUUUAGUCGUUGGUUUAAAAUUUUCCAAUGACAUUCUAUUGUAAUUUUUUACACUUUAUUUGGUUAGUUUAGUUUAGUAUAGAUUAUAAGAUAA